rnacentral:misc_RNA from 1 species
AGGCAAUUAAGGCUAGGGCGACUUGCUUCAAAAAGACCCUCACUGGUGCAUCUUUCAUCUGAAGCCUUCAACCACAGCUGGAUGCAUUUCAUUUCGAAUAUCCUGUUUUUCCUUCUUAAUUUCAUCGCUUAAAGCACUUCUUCCUGUUUGUAUCCUUUGCAAGUAUGGGGAUGCUAUAAGAUUAUGUUCCAUAUUCUUUAGAAUAAAACUUUCGUUCUGGUCUCUUCUCAUCACACAUGCACCUAAAGAGCUGCUUUCCUUCAAAUUCGAUGAUUGUGUGUCAAAGGGAAGUGAUGCGGCAGCUGUGGCUCCCAUUUCAUAUUCUUGAAACAAACAAAGACAAGUCAGAAUUGCUCUACCAUAAUAAGAUCAACUGUAAAAGAUGUAAAAUAUGCUAUAGAGCAGAAAUCAGUCUAACACUGAUCCAUAAGCACACUGUUAUACUGAAGAUAAUGCUGCAUAGCAUACUGCACAUAUACCUGAAGGAAUCCUUUCUGAAUGAUCUGCAUUAAGUUGCUGGUGUGGCAAAAUACCUUCCCUGCAAAUUUCCUUCAAUUGCAUGCAUAUAAGAUAGCUAAUCCACAUGCAUAUUGUCAUUCAAAGGGAUCAUAUUCAAACUUACCUCAGAAGAUCUGCGAAGUGGAAAAGGCCCAAAGUGAGCUCGGAUUGAUGAUUCCAUGCCAAAAGAGGUUUCUGAAUUUAUUAUAUUGGGUACUGAUAGCUGGCUUGAGAUGGCACAUUGGUUUGGAAGAUCAAAGAUAAUUUGUUCUGUGUUUUCCUGGUUUAGAGCAAGACUACCACUUAUAUUCAGAUGCUGAGAGCCAUUUUCCUCGCUAAAUCCCCUGCUGUAUUGAGAAAGUUGGACUGGUUGCAGCAUUCCAGGUAAGCACAUUGGAUGGAAACUUAUUCCAUUUCUCAUUGAUAACAUCUGUACUUGGAGCUGAAGUUGCUUGAGGUAUUCAAUAGCUUCAUCAAGCAUUGAUGCCUUAUCAGUCUUGUUAGAAUUUGGAAUUAGGUUUUGCAGCGCUUUCAUUUUCUCAUUUAUCCUGCUUCUCCUCCUCUUUUCAGACAAAUUGUGAACUUCUGCAGCUCUGCUUCUCUUCGAUGAACUACGUGGAGGAGCUGGCUUUGCUGGCGCCUCCUCUGCCAAAGCUUCAAGACCCUCCUCGCUUUCGCAGUCGUAGUCAUCAGCCUCGUUCUCACUAGCUCCUCCAAUCGACAAAGACGACGUAUUCGCCGCGCCUCCUUUCACAUUACCCGGGAAAAAACCAACGUUCACUCCUUCACAAGAAUCCAAGCCGGAGAUCCCGUCUUUCACGAGAGUUGAUCCGCAUGGACGGUGACAAUGACCCUCCCGCGGAAUAGAAAUGGGACCAUCAAAUGACUGCAACUGUGGGCCGGUGUGGUUCACAAAUGACGAGGCAAACGAAGAUAUCGAAGAAGCAGAAGUAGAAUGGAGAAGAAUCUGAUGGAGGAAACGCGAGAUAUCGUCCGA